AGAGAAUAACAAAGGGCGUACCACCCAAGAGGUAUUCUCAAGAGUUUGCUAGUUCAGCUGUUGCAUGUAUUACUAUUGUUGACAACUCAAGCCAGGUUAAGGGUAUGUCUAAGUCAGAGACAAAGACACAACAGGGAGUUGCUAAGCAUAACACAACGUUCCCUAACCAAGGUAAUGCAGAAGCACUCAUUCCUUGGAAAACAGACAACCAGAGAGUUACAUUGGUGAAACCAGUGGCGGGUAGUUCCAAGGGUGGAACUGAAACAACAGGGGAUUGUUACAUGUAUAACAACUGUUUGUUUUCUUCUCUGGAUCAAGCUUUGUCUGCAGCUAACGAUGAUUCAUAUGGGGGAGGAUGUCAGUAUAUGGAAACAUCAAAGCUGCAGACAGCCAGAUUGUUGACAUCACAUG